UAGCCAGCACCCCGAGUGGUCGGGACGAUUAUUGGGCCUAAAGCAUCCGUAGCCGGUCCUACAAGUCUUCCGUUAAAUCCACCUGUUUAACAGAUGGGCUGCGGAAGAUACUAUAGGGCUAGGAGGCGGGAGAGGGCAAGCGGUACUCAGUGGGUAGGGGUAAAAUCCUCUGAUCCACUGAAGACCACCAGUGGCGAAGGCGGCUUGCC
rnacentral:rRNA from 1 species